AUAAAGGUAGGAUCCUGCGAAUGUGAUAAGUCAGCCACACAAAACCAUGUAGGCUUAUUACCUGAAAGAGCAAUCAGUUCCUUAUCCUUAGCUGUCAUGUCAGGAACAAGCCUUCAUUGCACCCACUGCCACUCCAACCCCCUAAACUCAAGCCUCAAUAUUUUCUGAGGAAAAGACCAAGAUAAACUGAUCCACUGUCAACAUCCCAAACUGGUGUUUGCCUGAAAAUGCAGGAGAGAGCUGACUCAUUUGUUUGAUCAUUUUCUUCAAAGCUCAUUGAUGACAAUUUAAACAAAUAUAUUUGACUUGUUUGUAAUUUUUUUGCUCUACGAUGUUGGGCAGUUUAAGCUGACUAACAGUGUUUCUGUCCCAGUUCCACUCUAAUCUCAUCUAACCCCAAGCCAGCUUUCUUCCCCCCCCAUUUUCAGGCAAGAAGCUGGCUCCUUGUCAGCCUUUGAGGGACCUAGGGCUUGGAGAAGCCCGGCCAGCUGAGAACUGCAUGCUCCUCACAGACUUCGUCACAGGUGCUACCAUGACUCAUAAAAAGGUCCGUGAUGCACUGCCCCUCUGCUUGGAUGGAUGUCUUGGCUGUGUCCUCUGAAACCUCCCUAUGUAUGGGAGUUGGAACAGAUCCUGUGCUCGAUUCAGGAGAGGCAGCCUGAACGGUAAUGCUUCCUCCUUCCUGUCCGUAAGGCUGAGGUCGUGCCUCAGGUGAAAGCAACUACUCCUGACUGAACCUAGGAGAAGGGCUUUUUGUUAUUUCCUACUAGUAACUGGCACGGCUUUUAUACAGUUCAGUGAUGAAAGCUUUAAAAUGUGGCUACGGGAUUUUUACCUUGAACUAGACAAAGCAAGAGCCCCUCACCUCAAAUAUGGGAAUGAGGAUGGGUGCUCUGGGGAGGAAGCGGCAAGCAGAUGGCUGAGGGAAGCUGCUGAUAAAUGCCUUCCUGCUAUGUCCUUUUAAUUCAUUUUUAGAGCUAUCACUGAAGCAGAGUUAAAACUUCUUUACCUUUUAGUAAUAAGGGUAUGUAUGGGCUGUGACUGUAGUCCUUUGCAGGUCUGAGAGCACGGUAGGCAGAAACUUUCUGAAUCCAUGAAAAAUAAGACUUGAAUGAGGUGUUUUGGAAUGGACUGGUGAGAAAUAGGGAUAUGCAAGGGUGAUUUAUGUAAACCACAAAAGGAAGAAAUUAUUCACAGAACAGGGAAAGGCCUAAGGAGCUACUGAUGUGAAAUCUCUCUCCUGUGGAUUAUGGGAAAGUAAUCCAUUUUGGGGUCUUUGUUUUUGUUUCUUAUGUAAUAUCUCAUCUCCAGAAGGACUUAGAGCAAAUUUCCCUAGAGUGACUAAGCCAGUAUCAGAAAUCUGGGCAACAAAAUUGGACUGGGAAGACUGCUUUUCCCCUCUGUCCUCAAUUAGACAGAUAAAAGUGGUUUACUUUAAUACAGGUGAUUCAAGGUCAUCACCUCACCUUGGAAUGAAUUCAGUGUACAAAUUUUCUUUUUUUUCCAACUCCUAUAAGCAAAUAAAAUACAAUGAAGUAAAAGGUUUUGCCUUUUUUCUUUUUAAUAGAAAAGAUGAAAUAGAAUUGUGGGGUGAGUUCCUAUUCCACUAUCCUCAAAGAAAAGGAAGCAGCAUGAGCAUGAGUCUCCUGCCUGGAAGAAUGAAUCAGCCAUCUGGCAGCUUGAGGGUAUUCUUUUCUAGUGAUGAACCUUUAACCAUUGAUUGAGGUGUGGAAUUGGUUUGUUAUUUCUUCUCUCCGAGCACUGUUUCUUAAAUAUGUGAUUCUGAUCAAGACUGACUCUAAUCUCUGACUCUUUGGAUCAAACAUCGUAAAAAAUCCCUGUAGUAAAAGCCAUUUUAAAAUAAUCUCUGAAUUGGGCUCACUAUCAGUAACAGUGGACUUUGAAGUCUUAAGAGUAGCUAUUGUAAGACAGUUGAUGUAGUCCUGUAAAGUACUUUCUUCUACCCUUUUUUCUCACAGUGUCUUUUCUAUCAGGUACAGAUCCUUUCCAGGAACUUGAGAGUUUUAAAAUGUCUCUAUUUCCUUAUUGUCUUAUUUCCUUCCCUGUUGUAGCUACUGGAAGGUUCAGUCUCAGAAGCAUGAUCAGUUCUGGGAGAAAAUGCAGAAGUUAGGCUCUUCAUAGAGCCAUUUUUAUCUUCCACAAGACAACAAAUGUAGCAGUUAAGAACUUACUCAACUUUUCUGUCUCCUGUAUUCCUAUCCACAGGUUGAGAGAUUGUUAUGGUUGCAUCUUAAAUGUAUGCUAUAAAUAACCAUCAGAAACCAAUUUAUGUAUCUUUUGAGUGUUGUUCUGCAUUAUGAAUCCUUCAAGGGCACUGCUGGGUUAAGAAACCCUGUCUUCUGUUCCCUGGAACAGAGCAGGCACAUUGCAGACCUCUAGGAGUUCCCCGCACCUUCUGUUGUGCUGUCUGAAUUGUUUAUGUAGUUGUACUCUAAAUAGCAUCUGAGAAGGGGUAUGUUGGGGAAAAAAAAAUCAUAGGAAAGAAAUGGCCCUUCCUUUUCUCUGAUGAUGCAAGUUUUGAAGUUUUGCUUAGACAGCAUCUACAGAUGAGUGGAACAACUGGGAGGGAGGAAGUGAACCAGAGUGCAAAAUGCUCUUAAACAGCCUCUGUGCCCAAUGAUUCAUGAUAGCUGCUGCACCUGGAGUCUAGUCUCUAGAGGGCUUCCAUGAUUUGUUGUCACAAGCUUAGAAAACAAACUGUCAUGUCAGUCAAGACUUAAGUUUUAUAAAUCUGGGCUUUUACGGUCUGAACCAGCUUUGGAAACAGGCUGAGCUAUCUGCCACAGCAUUGUCAAUGCUUGUACACCCAUUCCUCCAAAACCACACCCUAAAAACUGUGUCAUGUUUUCUUUGUUAAACACAUUUUUCUUGUUAAACACAUUUACCAAAA